CCGGCGCACGGGUGAGUAACACGUAUGGAACCUGCCCUAUGCAGGGGGAUAAGCGGAAGAAAUUCCGUCUAAUACCGCAUAACACCUUUAGGAGACAUCUUCUUGGGGGUCAAAGGAGGCGACUCCGGCAUAGGAUGGCCAUGCGUCGCAUUAGCUAGUCGGCGGGGUAACGGCCCACCGAGGCGACGAUGCGUAGGGGUUCUGAGAGGAAGGUCCCCCACACUGGUACUGAGACACGGACCAGACUCCUACGGAAGGCAGCAG
rnacentral:rRNA from 1 species